rnacentral:lncRNA from 1 species
AUGUUUUUAGGAAGAGCUUGCUUGUGCUCCAGUAUGACAGAGUCCAGAACUCUUUUGCUUCCCACUAUAGAUGCCCUUGAAUUUUCACUGGAAGCGCUGAAGCUGAAGCUGAAGCUCCAGUACUUUGGCCACCUGCUGCAGAGAGCUGACUCACUGGAGAAGACCCUGAUGCUGGGCAAGAUUGAGGGUAGGAGGAGAAGAGGGUAACAGAGAAUGAGAUGGUUGGAUGGCAUCAUCAACUCAAUGAACAUGAGUUUGAGCAAGCUCCAGGACAUAGUGAAGGACGGGGAAGCCUGGCAUGCUUCAAUCUAUGGGGUCGCAAAGAGUUGGACAUGACUGAGCAACUGAACAGCCAACAACAUAGCUGCCCCAGCCCUUGCCCCAGAAAGGUGCAUAGUGCUGCCUGAUGACGGUGCCUGAAGGAGAGACAGAAGGCGUGCUACUUACUCUGCUUAUACACUUAGGAAAGCAUCACUUUCUAUCUGAGCAGUGGUUUCCACUUGACAUUAUAAUGAAAUCCCUAUAAGACUAUUCCUAGAAGAUGCUAAAGCAGGAUGAGGCAGUGACCCAAAGUGAAAGCUCAGGUUGAAAGGGGUCAGGACAGUCACCGAGAGUGCCAUUCAAGUGCCUCCAGCAGGAUAUUCUAAAAAGAGUCUCACAGCCCACCUCCAGCUGGGAAACAUUUCUAGAAAGGAGGGAAAAGUGUCCUUUUAAAAACAAGGUAUUUAAUGCCCUUUUGGGUUUGGAGCGGCACUGGGUUCGGCUCCCUGUAGCGAGGAGGUUUCUUCAUGCUAGAGCUCCCAGUAUGUUCUGCAAGGAAAGAAUGGACAUGUGGCCUCAGCUUCUGGUGUCUAUUUUUAUGCCCUGGUUGUGUGUAGGGGAAAAUGGAAAUAUAUUUUCAGUAUGUGUGUUUUUCCCCUGGUGUCUGCUGACUCCCACGGAAGCUGUAAAUCCCCAAAUCCAAACAUAAGAAGUCCAUGUCAGGAGGCAAUGACCCACCACUUUGGACUCCAUUCAACAUCUACCCAAAGAAUAUCCUUGGCAAAGAGCAGUGACAGCAUAAUAGUGGUAAAAAUAGCAAUCAUGCUCUCAGUUGUCAACUAAAUAUAACUCCUAAUGGCUAAAGUUCUAUAAACUAAUCAAUUUUUUUGUUCUAACAAAAUAGUUUGAAAAUCAAUGUUACCUUGGACACACAAAUUCAGUAUGA